AACCAGCACCUCAAGUGGUCAGGAUGAUUAUUGGGCCUAAAGCAUCCGUAGCCGGCUAUGUAAGUUUUCGGUUAAAUCUGUGCGCUUAACGUACAGGCUGCCGGGAAUACUGCACAGCUAGGAAGUGGGAGAGGCAGACGGUACUCGGUAGGAAGGGGUAAAAUCCUUUGAUCUAUUGAUGACCACCUGUGGCGAAGGCGGUCUACCAGAACACGUUCGACGGUGAGGGAUGAAAGCUGGGGGAGCAAACCGGAUUAGAUACCCGGGUAGUCCCAGCCGUAAACUAUGCAAACUCAGUGAUGCAUUGGCUUGUGACCAAUGCAGUGCUGCAGGGAAGCCGUUAAGUUUGCCGCCUGGGAAGUACGUACGCAAGUAUGAAACUUAAAGGAAUUGGCGGGGGAGCACCACAAGGGGUGAAGCCUGCGGUUCAAUUGGAGUCAACGCCAGAAAUCUUACCCGGAGAGACAGCAGAAUGAAGGUCAAGCUGAAGACUUUACCAGACAAGCUGAGAGGUGGUGCAUGGCCGUCGCCAGCUCGUGCCGUGAGAUGUCCUGUUAAGUCAGGUAACGAGCGAGAUCCCUGCCUCUAGUUGCCACCAUUACUCUCAGGAGUAGUGGGGCGAAUUAGCGGGACCGCCGCAGUUAAUGUGGAGGAAGGAAGGGGCCACGGCAGGUCAGUAUGCCCCGAAACUCUGGGGCCACACGCGGGCUGCAAUGGUAGUGACAAUGGGUUCCGAAUCCGAAAGGAGGAGGUAAUCCUCAAACGCUCCCACAGUUGUGACUGAGGGCUGCAACUCGCCCUCACGAACAUGGAAUCCCUAGUAACUGCGUGUCAUUAUCGCGCGGUGAAUACGUCCCUGCUCCU
rnacentral:rRNA from 1 species